rnacentral:rRNA from 1 species
GACGAACGCUGGCGGCGUGCUUAACACAUGCAAGUCAAGGGGGCCCGACGCAAUAGGGCGAACCGGACGAACGGGUGCGUAACACGUGAGCAACCUACCGAACUGUGGGGGAGUAGCCGGCCUAACGGCCGAGUAAUACCGCAUACGCUCUCAGUGAGGCAUUUCAUUGAGAGGAAACCUACGGGACAGAUCGAGGGGCUCGCGGCCUAUCAGCUAGUUGGCGAGGUAACGGCNCACCAAGGA